rnacentral:rRNA from 1 species
GACGAACGCUGGCGGCGUGCUUAACACAUGCAAGUCGAACGGAAAGGCCCUGCUUUUGUGGGGUGCUCGAGUGGCGAAGGGGUGCGUAACACGUGAGUAACCUGCCCUUGACUUUGGGAUAACUUCAGGAAACUGGGGCUAAUACCGGAUAGGAGCCCCUGCUGCAUGGAGGGGGUUGGAAAGUUUCGGCGGUUGGGGAUGGACGCGCGGCUUACCAGCUUGUUGGUGGGGUAGUGGCUUACCAAGGCUUUGACGGGUAGCCGGCCUGGGAGGGUGACCGGCCACCUUGGGCCUGAGAUACGGCCCAGUCUCCUACGGGAGGCAGCAGUGGGGAAUAUUGCACAAUGGGCGGAAGCCUGAUGCAGCAACGCCGCGUUCGUGAUGACGGCCUUCGGGUUGUAAACCGCUUUCGCCUGUGACGAAGCGUUAGUGACGGUAAUGGGUAAAGAAGCACCGGCUAACUACGUG